UGGAUCUGCGGAUGUACUUCGAAAAACAACAAGCUUUAAAACUGUCACAAAAGCCCUAAAUAUAUAAACCGUAACUCAGCAAAUUACCAAUAAACUCUCAUUGUUGUAUUUUUAUUUAUUUGGGUAGCAUGUUGUAACAUCUCGACUAGGCGGCUACUGACCGCUGGCUUCCCUCGUUUCUGCGGCUCCAAUAUGCUGACUUCCCAUUUUUCUAUUGAUUUCCCAGAUGGAUGGCUGGUGAUGAUUUGUAAUUCAUAUCUGAGAUGGAACGUAACUGGCUGGUUGACAACGCGAUACUGCCUUCUUAUAUUUGCGGUUGUGUCGCUGAAACUUUGUGACAAGGAAAGCCUCUUGAAAGAACCAGAACUUGUAGUGGAGCAAUUAUCCCCCUAACCCUAUUGUUUUCAUGCUUCUCUGUAAAAGACAGACUCUUAUUAAGAUGAUUUCAAAAUAAGAAGUAAAUAUUUUAAUAAUUUGUAUUAUUGGGUUGGUUAACUUGUAUAUCAGACACGUCUUAUGGUGAGACCGUCAUAUAUAAAUUUGUAAUUGUUUUUCUUUAA